AGGCGCGCGGGGGCUGUAAUCUGACGCAGGCAGAGUGCAACUGACCAGGGCCGAGGUAUACGACAUUCUGCUCGGAGAACAGACAGGGCAAGGAGUUGUAUAAAGCAGCCAUUUCAUCAAGCAGGAGGUUGACCUUUCAAAGUGUUAUGCAGUACCUUGAUAAAGAGGACACAAAUCAGAGUAGGAGGACAGCUGCCCUUCUUGGUCUCCCACUUAUUUUCUCGGAGGAUACUUCAGAGAUCAUCAGGAUGUGUGAUGUAAGAAAAUUAACAUGUUUAGAUAAUAUUAAUCAUUGACUAGAUUUACUGGUAUUAAUUUUAAACAUAAGUAAACAUCCCUUUUAUCCACAACAUUGCAGAACCUUUUUCAUUCAAUGUUUAAUACAUCAUUCAAAACUUACUGGCAAUUCAAAUGUUUUAAAAUUAACUGAUAGGCAGUUUUAAAAAGAGAAUGUGUCAUGCAAUGAUAUAGACUGCUGAACUUCAUAAGUUAAUCACAAUAAAUGCAUUCUUACAUGACUAGCUGUAUGAAAAUCGUAAAAUCACAAACUUUGUUAAAUCUAAAUUGAUUUAGUUACGUGGUACACUAUUCAAAAUGUGGAUUCAUAUAUUUUUUUUUCCAUAAACAGCAAAACUGACUACAUCAAAAAUUCAGGUGACCGUCAAGGCCCAUGGGCCUCUUGUUUUUGUUUUGUUUAAGCUUUGCUCUCCAUGCUUGUAGCCGGCUCCUCGGUACCUUUAAGGUAGGUAGUCCAGCGCUGCAACUCAGUGAUAGGAACUAAAACUAAGUUUGAACGGGGUUGUGUGGGAAUCUUUCUUGCAUCAAAAGUAUGUCAAUAAAAGUUUAUUUUGUGACUAACCAGCUCAGAUUGCUAUGAUAAGUAUCUGACAACAUUAUGGAGACAAAUUCUACCUUUUUAUUUACCUGAUGUUGCUUCUUGCCCUUGUUUACAUCCUGUUAUGUAGUCUGUCAUUUGAAGCAGAGGAGUGUGUGGAGCUACAGACACAGAAACUUGUAAUUUGUUUAUGAAGUGAUGGCUGAAUAUUAGAAGAUUUUGAACA